CAGGUAGGCGGCCUGAAAAGUGGGAAGUGAAAUCCACCGGCUUAAUCGGUGAACUGCUUUCCAAACUUUCGGGCUUGAGUGUGGGAGAGGAGAAUGGAACUCCUGGUGUAGAGGUGAAAUUCGUAGAUAUCAGGAGGAACACCAUUGGCGAAGGCGAUUCUCUGGACCACAACUGACGCUGAACUGCGAAAGCUAGGGGAGAGAACAGGAUUAGAUACCCUGGUAGUCC
rnacentral:rRNA from 1 species